GGGGACCUUCGGGGCCCUACAUCCGACGCCGGGCGCCCGAUCGAGAUCGGGUCCGGCCGACACAUAGGCGAGGCGCCCGCUCGGGGCGACCGCGCCGCUUGCAAAACGGAAGACAGAAA
rfam:Roseivivax jejudonensis strain CECT 8625 genome assembly, contig: 0009